rnacentral:sRNA from 1 species
UUUUUUUAAUCCAAAUCUCUUUCUU